AUUGUAUUACUAAAUGCAUGUAUCAUGCCUGGCACAACCAGAGCUAAUGUGGUUUGGAAGACCAUCAAUACAAAAAUUUAAUCUUCGUGAAUCAUGCAAGCUGGCAAUGGCAUCUUUUGUAUCUGCUGCAGUCUGAGAAAUCUGUUCUAUAGGAUAUAAAUCAAUGCACUUUCCAAAACAAUUCU